rnacentral:rRNA from 1 species
GAUGAACGCUGGCGGCGUGCUUAACACAUGCAAGUCGAACGAGAAGUGGAGACGGAAACCUUCGGGCGGAAGACUUUACUUCGAUUGGCGGACGGGUGAGUAACGCGUGGGUAACCUGCCUCAUACAGGGGGAUAACAGUUGGAAACGACUGUUAAUACCGCAUAAGACCACAGCACCGCAUGGUGCGGGGGUAAAAACUCCGGUGGUAUGAGAUGGACCCGCGUUCGAUUAGCCAGUUGGCGGGGUAACGGCCCACCAAAGCGACGAUCGAUAGCCGAUCUGAGAGGAUGACCGGCCACAGUGGGACUGAGACACGGCCCAAACUCCUACGGGAGGCAGCAGUGGGGAAUAUUGCACAAUGGGGGAAACCCUGAUGCAGCGACGCCGCGUGAGUGAAGAAGUAUUUCGGUAUGUAAAGCUCUAUCAGCAGGGAAGAAAAUGACAGUACCUGAGUAAGAAGCCCCGGCUAACUACGUG